rnacentral:rRNA from 1 species
UAAGAGCGAAUGGUGGAUGCCUUGACUGGUAAAGGCGAUGAAGGACGUACUAGACUGCGAUAAGCUACGGGGAGCUGUCAAGAAGCUUUGAUCCGUAGAUUUCCGAAUGGGGCAACCCAAUGUAUAGAGAUAUACAUUACCUAUAUAGGAGCGAACGAGGGGAAUUGAAACAUCUUAGUACCCUCAGGAAAAGAAAUCAAUAGAGAUUGCGUCAGUAGCGGCGAGCGAAAGCGCAAGAGGGCAAACCCAGUGCUUGCACUGGGGGUUGUAGGACUGCAAUGUGCAAGAGGUGAGUUUAGCAGAACAUUCUGGAAAGUAUAGCCAUAGAGGGUGAUAGUCCCGUAUGCGAAAAACAAACCUUAGCUAGCAGUAUCCUGAGUAGGGCGGGACACGAGAAAUCCUGUCUGAAGCUGGGUCGACCACGAUCCAACCCUAAAUACUAAUACCAGAUCGAUAGUGCACAAGUACCGUGAGGGAAAGGUGAAAAGAACUGAGGUGAUCAGAGUGAAAUAGAACCUGAAACCAUUUGCUUACAAUCAUUCAGAGCCCUAUGUAGCAAUACAGGGUGAUGGACUGCCUUUUGCAUAAUGAGCCUGCGAGUUGUGGUGUCUGGCAAGGUUAAGCAAACGCGAAGCCGUAGCGAAAGCGAGUCUGAAUAGGGCGCUUAGUCAGAUGCUGCAGACCCGAAACGAAGUGAUCUAUCCAUGAGCAAGUUGAAGCUAGUGUAAGAACUAGUGGAGGACUGAACCCAUAGGCGUUGAAAAGCCCCGGGAUGACUUGUGGAUAGGGGUGAAAGGCCAAUCAAACUUCGUGAUAGCUGGUUCUCUCCGAAAUAUAUUUAGGUAUAGCGUUGUGUCGUAAUAUAAGGGGGUAGAGCACUGAAUGGGCUAGGGCAUACACCAAUGUACCAAACCCUAUCAAACUCCGAAUACCUUAUAUGUAAUCACAGCAGUCAGGCGGCGAGUGAUAAAAUCCGUCGUCAAGAGGGAAACAACCCAGACUACCAGCUAAGGUCCCUAAAUCUUACUUAAGUGGAAAACGAUGUGAAGUUACUUAAACAACCAGGAGGUUGGCUUAGAAGCAGCCAUCCUUUAAAGAAAGCGUAAUAGCUCACUGGUCUAGUGAUUUUGCGCGGAAAAUAUAACGGGGCUAAAGUAAGUACCGAAGCUGUAGACUUGCGCACAACUUAGAUUAUUUAAGUUUAGAAUAUGAGAAACUAAGUUAUAUGUUUAGUUAUAUUUUUACUGAUUUUUAUAGAGUAAAGAUAGAAAUAAAACUUAGUAAAAUCAGUAAAAAUAUUCUUAGACUAAAGUUAAGUAGUUUAAGUUGUGUGCAAGUGGUAGGAGAGCGUUCUAUUUGCGUCGAAGGUAUACCGGUAAGGAGUGCUGGAGCGAAUAGAAGUGAGCAUGCAGGCAUGAGUAGCGAUAAUUAAUGUGAGAAUCAUUAACGCCGUAAACCCAAGGUUUCCUACGCGAUGCUCGUCAUCGUAGGGUUAGUCGGGUCCUAAGUCGAGUCCGAAAGGGGUAGACGAUGGCAAAUUGGUUAAUAUUCCAAUACCAACAUUAGUGUGCGAUGGAAGGACGCUUAGGGCUAAGGGGGCUAGCGGAUGGAAGUGCUAGUCUAAGGUCGUAGGAGGUUAUACAGGCAAAUCCGUAUAACAAUACUCCGAGAACUGAAAGGCUUUUUGAAGUCUUCGGAUGGAUAGAAGAACCCCUGAUGCCGUCGAGCCAAGAAAAGUUUCUAAGUUUAGCUAAUGUUGCCCGUACCGUAAACCGACACAGGUGGGUGGGAUGAGUAUUCUAAGGCGCGUGGAAGAACUCUCUUUAAGGAACUCUGCAAAAUAGCACCGUAUCUUCGGUAUAAGGUGUGGUUAGCUUUGUAUUAGGAUUUACUCCGAAAGCAAGGAAACUUACAACAAAGAGUCCCUCCCGACUGUUUACCAAAAACACAGCACUCUGCUAACUCGUAAGAGGAUGUAUAGGGUGUGACGCCUGCCCGGUGCUCGAAGGUUAAUUGAUGGGGUUAGCAUUAGCGAAGCUCUUGAUCGAAGCCCGAGUAAACGGCGGCCGUAACUAUAACGGUCCUAAGGUAGCGAAAUUCCUUGUCGGUUAAAUACCGACCUGCAUGAAUGGCGUAACGAGAUGGGAGCUGUCUCAAAGAGGGAUCCAGUGAAAUUGUAGUGGAGGUGAAAAUUCCUCCUACCCGCGGCAAGACGGAAAGACCCCGUGGACCUUUACUACAGCUUGACACUGCUAUUUGGAUAAGAAUGUGCAGGAUAGGUGGGAGGCUUUGAGUAUAUGACGCCAGUUGUAUAUGAGCCAUUGUUGAGAUACCACUCUUUCUUAUUUGGGUAGCUAACCAGCUUGAGUUAUCCUCAAGUGGGACAAUGUCUGGUGGGUAGUUUGACUGGGGCGGUCGCCUCCCAAAUAAUAACGGAGGCUUACAAAGGUUGGCUCAGAACGGUUGGAAAUCGUUCGUAGAGUAUAAAGGUAUAAGCCAGCUUAACUGCAAGACAUACAAGUCAAGCAGAGACGAAAGUCGGUCUUAGUGAUCCGGUGGUUCUGUGUGGAAGGGCCAUCGCUCAAAGGAUAAAAGGUACCCCGGGGAUAA